AAGUCUAUAUCCUUAUUAGAGAGAGAUUGUUGCAAAUCUCAAGUACAUUAUAACAACAAUUCCCCAGGUUUAGGCUCUGCUAGGAUUUUGGUUUGCUGAGUUUGUGGAGAAGCUAUGGCUACCGCCGAGGGCCCUUCUAGAUCGUCAGUGCAGGCGAAUAGACAGAGGACUUUUGCUGAUAUGGUUGCACAAUCACCUCAACCGAUCCCUGUGGUGGAGGUUCCCCCAUGUCCUCCUAAAAUCAUCGAUGCCAAGUUCUAUAUGUUGUUCACUAAGGAAGAAAUAGAUAGAUCUACAACGCCUUUCAAAUUUUCAAUGGUGAUGAAAUUCAUCCGACAACGCCCAUCUUUGGAUGCUAUUCAUUCAUUUAUCAGAAAUCGAUGGGGAUUGGAGAUCAAGCAGCCGGUGAUUUCGGCGAUGCGAAGGCCGCGUAAUAUUUAUGUGAGAUUCUCAAAUGAACCUGUUUUUUUUAAAGUGCUAUCGAGAGAAGCCAUUGAUGUAGAUGGAGUUCCUCAUCGUUGUUUCCGAUGGUCAUUAGAUUUUAAUGAAGACAAAGAGCCUCUGUUGGUACCAGUUAGUUCUUCUUGGUUUACCCUCAAAUUUAUAUCAGGAAUCGUUUCUCACGAAUAUCAUUGCUCCGAUUGAAACUUUCUUAUGUUGGGACAAUGCAAUCAAAUGUGCUACAAGAACAGAUGGGGCAAGGGUCUGUUUGUUGGUUGAUGCUGCGAGUAAACCUAUUCUUAGGAUAUGGAUUGGUAAUCCCCACCAGGAGUCGAGCAUUUAUGUGGAGGUUCAGUAUGAAACAUUGCUGCCUUUUGUUCCAAUUGUAAUGUUCAGGGACAUAAUUUGAUGACCUGUAGAUGGAAGAUUUUUUAGAAAAAGGAGGUGGAAAAAAAGAAGAUUUAGGGGGAGAAAAAAAGGAAAUUUGGAAGAAAAAAAUACUGAUGUGGUUGAUCAUGUGAUGCCUCCGAAUGAGAUUAAGAAGGCACCAAAAAUGUAUAUUGAUUUAGAAUAGAGGAAUGUGGAUAAGACGGGUCCUAGUAACACAAAAGAGAUUAAUACUCCAGAGGAUAUAGGUUUGAAGGAAGUUGAGGAUAUAGAGAGGCCAUUGUUUGAGGAAGAGGAAAUUUGCGAAACAGAAAGAAAUGUUGAGGAUCCGGUUAGGGAACAAUCUCUUGUUUUGGUUCCUGUUAAUGUUGAUUCUGGGUAGGAGAUUAAUGUUCAGUUAGAGGAUAUGGAUGAUGUUGUGGUGGAUUUGGGUAAUGCUGAAACAGAAGUGCAGAUACAGGAUGAAGAUCCUGCUAUUCAAGAGGGUUAUGUUUUGGCUCCUAAUAGCAUACAUUGUGAUCAUCUUUGCAAAGAGAAGGUGUGUGCUUCUGAUUGUGAUUCUCAAGUGAAAAAGAAAGAUGUGACAUUGAGAGAUGCAGUCACAUUGACAGAAGAAGUUUAAGGAGUUCGUUGAUUAAUGAUAUGCCACAAAAUGAGCCUUGGGUUUGUAUUGGCGAUUUUAAUACUAUACGUGGAGAUGGUGAAUGAUGUGGUGGUAGGCAUUGCUUGCGACAGACUAUGGAGGAAUUUAAUUCGUUCAUUGAGUCUUGUGGUUUGUGUGAAAUGAAGGCAUUGGAGAGUAAAUUUUCAUAGUGUAAUGGACAAAAAAUGGAAUGGCACGAAGCUGGUCGCUUGUUGAUCGUGGUUUGUAGAAUUUAGAGGCCGUUUUGACACUCUCUUAUGCAUUUUACAGGUUAUUGCCAAGAACAACCUCGAAUCAUGCUCCUUUACUUGUCUCAUUGAAUUCCAAUAAUUUUUGGUAUAGGCCCUCUUCUUUUAAGUUUCAACAAAUGUGGGUGUCUCAUGAUUGUUUCCUAGAUGUGGUUAAGGAGUCUUGGUAGGUUCAGUUGGUGAUUUGGGGCUGUUUGGUCUGGUGGAUAAAUUGAAGAGAUUGAAAUUGGUGCUUAAAGAUUGGAAUUUUUGAAUUUUUAGGCGCACGUAUGUGAAUAUUUGAAGGCUGGAAAACAAAAUUGAAGCUACUGAGUUACAACUUCAAGCAAAUGUUUUGGUUUCUUUUGAAUCUGAUUUGUUUCUGGCAAAAGAUGAAUAAAAUUUGUGGUAGGAAAGAGAAAAUACUCACCUCUCACAACAGGAUAAGCUAAAUUGGCUAGAGAAAGGAGAGGCUUCUAGUAAGUUUGUAAGACUUUUGCUUCUCUGUCUAAGCCUAUGAUUAAGGAGAUGAAGAUGGCGGAUGGUAAGGUUUUAGCCACACUCGAAACCAUACAUGAAGGAGCUGUUGAUUAUUUUCAAUCUUUUCUUUCUGUCAAGCCUCCUAGAGAACUUCUUGGUCUUUCUCUAUAUGUUGAAAGUGCUGUGGUGGAGCAAGAAAACAAAGCUAUUAUUUAGCUUCCUCCAAUCCAAGAAACUAAGGAAUUGAUGUUUGCAAUUCCUUUAAAUAGUAGCUUGGGGCUAGAUGGGUUUGGAUCCGGAUUCUAUUAGUCUUGUUGGAAUAUAGUUGAAGCAGAUGAUGUGGAGGCUAUUAGAGAUUUAUUUCGGGGUACUCCUAUACCUCAGUUUUAUUCAGCCUCAUACAUAGUUUUGAUUCCAAAAGUGUCUCAGCCAUCUGGUUUUGACAACUCCUCACAUUAGUUUUUGUUCAGUGAUAUAAAAAGUUUUCUCUAAGAUUCUUGUUAAAAGGAUGUUGCCAAUUUUGGAGAAAAUUAUAUCUCCGGAACAAGGUGCUUUUUGCUGGGGAGAAGCAUUUUUGAGAAUAAUGCUUUUGCUCAAGAAAUGGUGCAUAUGAUUAAUUAGACAAGUCAUGGGGGAAAUGUUUUAUUAAAAAUAGACAUGACAAAAGCAUAUGAUUGUAUUGAUUGGGAUUUCUUGCCGCAUGUAAUGAAAUCCUUUGGAUUUUCUAAUCAGAUUUGUGACCUGGUCAGACAAUGCAUAUCAAAUUCUUGGUUCUCAAUUGUGAUGAAUGGAACGGCAAAAGGAUUUUUUCAGAGUGGUCAUGGGUUGCGUCAAAGGGACCCUUUGUCACCUUAUUUAUUUAUUCUUGUGGAAGAAAUGCUAUCUUGGUUGCUAAAGUACAACCUUCAAAGUUGCAAAA